rnacentral:guide_RNA from 1 species
AUACAAAACUAAACAGACAGUGAAGGCAGUGUAAGAUUG